rnacentral:rRNA from 1 species
UACGUAUGGUGCAAGCGUUAUCCGGAUUUACUGGGUGUAAAGGGAGCGCAGGCGGCGCGGCAAGUCCGAUGUGAAAACCCCCGGCUCAACCGGGGGACUGCAUUGGAAACUACCGGGCUGGAGUGCCGGAGAGGUAGGCGGAAUUCCUGGUGUAGCGGUGAAAUGCGUAGAUAUCAGGAGGAACACCAGUGGCGAAGGCGGCCUACUGGACGGUGACUGACGCUGAGGCUCGAACGCGUGGGGAGCAAACAGG